rnacentral:tRNA from 1 species
GCGGGAGUGGUGGAAUUGGUAGACACGUCAGACUUAGGAUCUGGUGCAAUUACAACUUGCGUGGGAGUUCAAGUCUCCCCUUUCGCA